rnacentral:lncRNA from 1 species
AGCUUCCGAAUUGACGAUCCACUCUAUUAAAUAUGAUCUAGAGUAUUUGAAACUUCUAGAAAAUAAAUUUCGUAAAUUUUCGAAAUCAUAAUAAAGUCCAUCAAGUGGGCAUAAAAUGAACGGUCAAAAUCGAAGGACGUCCUAAAAAAGGGAUGAUCGGAUCCUUCAAUUCAAGAUUGGAGCUAUUGAUCUUUAUCUAUGUAGUGAAUAGAAUUUUCUAUCAAAAAUUCAAUAAAUUUCAAUUCUUUUACACUGUUAAACUUGCAAGUAUCCUAUACCGGCCGUUAAAAAUUGUUAAAUUUGUGACCUUUUGAUCGUAAGGUAAAUAAUGUCGAAAAAUUAUAAAAUUUAAUUUCUAGAAGUUUUAAAUGUUGUAAAUAACGUUUAACGGUGUGGAUCGUCGAUUCGAAAGCUUUAUCAUCGAAAA